rnacentral:rRNA from 1 species
GACGAACGCUGGCGGCGUGCUUAACACAUGCAAGUCGAACGGAAAGGCCCUGCUUUUGUGGGGUGCUCGAGUGGCGAACGGGUGAGUAACACGUGAGUAACCUGCCCGUGACCGUGGGAUAACUUCAGGAAACUGUGGCUAAUACCGGAUAGGAGCUCCUGCUGCAUGGUGGGGGUUGGAAAGUUUCGGCGGUUGGGCAUGGACUUGCGGCUUAUCAGCUUGUAGGUGGGGGAGUGGAAUACCAAGGCUUUGACGGGUAGCCGGCCUGGGAGGGUGACCGGCCACAUAGGGACUGGGGAAGGGCCCAGAGUGAUACUGGAGGCAGGGGCGGGAAUUAUUCCGCACAACGCGGCGGUGUGAUACAACGACGCCGGGUCGGGAAUGACGGCUUUCGGGUUGUAACGCGCUUGCGCCUGUAACGAAGAGUGUGUGACGGUAAUGGAUAAGAAAGCAACGGCUAACUACGUG